rnacentral:rRNA from 1 species
AAUCGAGGCCCCGUAAUUGGAAUGAGUACACUUUAAAUCCUUUAACGAGGAUCAAUUGGAGGGCAAGUCUGGUGCCAGCAGCCGCGGUAAUUCCAGCUCCAAUAGCGUAUAUUAAAGUUGUUGCAGUUAAAAAGCUCGUAGUUGGAUCUCAGGAUUUGGAUGGAUGGUUCGCUUUCGGGCGCUACUAUCUGUCUGACCUACUCUAGUCGUGGAUGCCUUGGGUGCUCUUAAUUGAGUGCUUUUGGUGCCCGACGCAAUUAUUUUGAAAAAAUUAGAGUGCUCAAAGCAGGCGUAUUGCCUGAAUAGUGUUGCAUGGAAUAAUGAAAUAGGAGUUUACUUCUAUUUUGUUGGUUUUCGGAGGUGAACUAAUGAUUAACAGGGACAGACGGGGGCAUUUGUAUGGAGGGGUUAGAGGUGAAAUUCUUGGAUCCUCUCCAGACAAACUACUGCGAAAGCAUUUGCCAGGAAUGUUUUCACUAAUCAAGAACGAUAGUCAGAGGCGAAGACGAUCAGAUACCGUCCUAGUUCUGACCAUAAAUGAUGCCAUCUAACAAUCCACGAAGUUUGCUUGUACGAACUCGUGGGCGGUCCCCGGGAAACCAAAGAUUUUGGGUUCCGGGGGAAGUAUGGUUGCAAAGCUGAAACUUAAAGGAAUUGACGGAAGGGCACCACCAGGAGUGGAGCCUGCGGCUUAAUUUGACCCAACACGGGAAACCUCACCCGGCCCGGACACUUUUAGGAUUGACAGAUUGAAGGCUCUUUCUUGAUCAAGUGGUUGGUGGUGCAUGGCCGUUCUUAGUUGGUGGAGCGAUUUGUCUGGUUAAUUCCGAUAACGAACGAGACUCUACUCUGCUAAAUAGAACGUUGAUAUAUAAAAGUCAGUGCUGACUUCUUAGAGAGACUAACGGCGUUUAGCCGUGUGAGAAAGAGCAAUAACAGGUCUGUGAUGCCCUUAGAUGUCCGGGGCCGCACGCGCGCUACACUGACUGCAGCAACUAGUAUGCUCCUGGUUUGAAAAAACUGGGUAACCUGGUUGAAUUGCAGGCGUGACAGGGAUCAGAGUUUGCAAUUAUCCUCUGUGAACGAGGAAUUCCCAGUAAGCGCAAGUCAUUAGCUUGUGCUGAUUACGUCCCUGCCCUUUGUACACACCGCCCGUCGCUACUACCGAUUGAAUGGUUUAGUGAGGUCUUCGGAUUGGUGCUGAUGGAGUGGUUCUCUGCUCUGUUAGUGCCGAGAAGAUGAUCAAACUUGAUCAUUUAGAGGAAGUAAAAGUCGUAACAAGGU